AGUGAACGCUGGCGGUAGGCCUAACACAUGCAAGUCGAACGGCAGCACAGUAAGAGCUUGCUCUUACGGGUGGCGAGUGGCGGACGGGUGAGGAAUACAUCGGAAUCUACUUUUUCGUGGGGGAUAACGUAGGGAAACUUACGCUAAUACCGCAUACGACCUACGGGUGAAAGCAGGGGAUCUUCGGACCUUGCGCGAUUGAAUGAGCCGAUGUCGGAUUAGCUAGUUGGCGGGGUAAAGGCCCACCAAGGCGACGAUCCGUAGCUGGUCUGAGAGGAUGAUCAGCCACACUGGAACUGAGACACGGUCCAGACUCCUACGGGAGGAAGCAGUGGGGAAUAUUGGACAAUGGGCGAAAGCCUGAUCCAGCCAUACCGCGUGGGUGAAGAAGGCCUUCGGGUUGUAAAGCCCUUUUGUUGGGAAAGAAAAGCAGCAGGUUAAUACCCCGCUGUUCUGACGGUACCCAAAGAAUAAGCACCGGCUAACUUCGUG
rnacentral:rRNA from 1 species